GUCUCUUUUAGCCGAAGAAUUUCGUUUGCUACCAGAAAUUCGUCUGCUACAAGGGGAUGAACAACAAACCAUUCACAAACAAUAGCUAAACACCGGUCUCCAGCACCACAUUCAGAAAGGCUACACCUACGCCAUUGACAAAGACGUAAACAUUCACAGGCAGCUGGAACAUAAGCUAAAUUGUUUCGGAUACUGUACGUGUUGUCACGCCAAGAAAAAUUAGCGUCGCUAGCUGAAAAUAGGUUGGUCGAAUCUCUAUUACCGCUACCGCCAUCUGUUGAGAUAAAUUUUGUAAAAAACGUGUUUGAUGGUGUACUAUAUCAGUCAUCUAGACAGAAUCUCUAUCGGGAAAACUGCUUAGCGUCUGCGGGUUCUACUGACAAAUCAUAUUCCUGCAUGACUAAAGGCACGUAUGAAGCGAUCUAAAAGGGAAGAGUAAAGUGACGGCUUUUCGGUAAAAGGGAAAGAUAUCCUAACACUGAAUACCAGAUGACUGCUUGAAAAGCGUAGGCUUCCCUUCCUUUGCUUUGAUUCGAGGAGACUUUGAAUGAUUUGACCUGCCACCUGAUGUUUAGUGCAGGAUUCCCUUACUUUCCACAGUUACCCACAGUACUAUAAAAAACUGACAUUUCCUUGUAAAUGACAUUGAUGGGAAUUAGAUUUUUGAACUAGUUAUUUAUCUCCUUUUCAAUAUGUACAUAGAAUGCAAAUACAGAAAUACAGACUGUGCAUGAAUUUCUGUCAGUCUAGCCCAUUACUUGUUUCAAUCUUUUGAGCUUACGAUGACACAAUAUACAGCCAUUAUAAAAGAAACACUAUUUGGCGGGGAUAGCGAACACAGAACAAACAAAAUUGAUUUGAAAAAAAAAAAAAAAAGGAAUCUAUAGUAGUAAAAAGGUACAGUUAAAAACUGUCUGAUAAACACGAAAUAAAUGAUUUAGCAAAACAUUAGGAAUUUUUCCUUG